CGGAGUAUAGCUCAGCCUGGUAGAGCGCUACGUUCGGGACGUAGAGGUCGUAGGUUCGAAUCCUGUUACUCCGACCA
rnacentral:tRNA from 1 species